rnacentral:sRNA from 1 species
UAGGUGAUUCUUGAUGCAAAGCUAAAAGG